rfam:Triticum aestivum genome assembly, contig: Triticum_aestivum_CS42_TGACv1_scaffold_032208_1BL
CCGCUCACCGACGACGACAUGGUGUCCUACGUCCUCGCGGGACUCGAGUACGACUACAUGCCUUUCGUGUCCAUGAUCUGCGCAAAUAAAGGUGAGCAAGCUUUACUCGCAGCUGAUCAGCUUUGAAA